rnacentral:rRNA from 1 species
AGUUUGAUCCUGGCUCAGGAUGAACGCUAGCGGCAGGCUUAACACAUGCAAGUCGAGGGGCAGCGGGGAGGAAGCUUGCUUUCUCCGCCGGCGACCGGCGCACGGGUGAGUAACACGUAUGCAACCUGCCCCUGUCAGGGGGACAACCCGCCGAAAGGCGGGCUAAACCCGCGUACAUGCCACCGGGGCAUCCCGGAGGCAGGAAAGGCUUCGGCCGGACAGGGAUGGGCAUGCGGCGCAUUAGGCAGUAGGCGGGGUAACGGCCCACCUAACCGACGAUGCGUAGGGGUUCUGAGAGGAAGGUCCCCCACACUGGUACUGAGACACGGACCAGACUCCUACGGGAGGCAGCAGUGAGGAAUAUUGGUCAAUGGUCGGGAGACUGAACCAGCCAAGCCGCGUGAGGGAGGAAGGUACAGAGUAUCGUAAACCUCUUUUGUCAGGGAACAAAGACUGGGACGCGUCCCCGGAUGAGUGUACCUGAAGAAAAAGCAUCGGCUAACUCCGUGCCAGCAGCCGCGGUAAUACGGAGGAUGCGAGCGUUAUCCGGAUUUAUUGGGUUUAAAGGGUGCGCAGGCGGUCUGUUAAGUCAGCGGUCAAAGCCCGGGGCUCAACCCCGGCCCGCCGUUGAAACUGGCAGUCUCGAGUUGGAGAGAAGUAUGCGGAAUGCGCGGUGUAGCGGUGAAAUGCAUAGAUAUCGCGCAGAACUCCGAUUGCGAAGGCAGCAUGCCGGCUCCACACUGACGCUGAGGCACGAAAGCGUGGGUAUCGAACAGGAUUAGAUACCCUGGUAGUCCACGCAGUAAACGAUGAAUGCUGGCUGUCCGGGGGGACUGACCCCUGGGUGGCGAAGCGAAAGCGAUAAGCAUUCCACCUGGGGAGUACGCCGGCAACGGUGAAACUCAAAGGAAUUGACGGGGGCCCGCACAAGCGGAGGAACAUGUGGUUUAAUUCGAUGAUACGCGAGGAACCUUACCCGGGCUCAAACGGGGAGUGACUCAGGCAGAGACGCCUGUUUCCCACGGGACACUCCCCGAGGUGCUGCAUGGUUGUCGUCAGCUCGUGCCGUGAGGUGUCGGCUUAAGUGCCAUAACGAGCGCAACCCCCGCGUGCAGUUGCUAACAGAUAACGCUGAGGACUCUGCACGGACUGCCGGCGCAAGCCGCGAGGAAGGCGGGGAUGACGUCAAAUCAGCACGGCCCUUACGUCCGGGGCGACACACGUGUUACAAUGGGUGGUACAGCGGGAAGCCAGGCGGCGACGCCGAGCGGAACCCGAAAUCCACUCUCAGUUCGGAUCGGAGUCUGCAACCCGACUCCGUGAAGCUGGAUUCGCUAGUAAUCGCGCAUCAGCCAUGGCGCGGUGAAUACGUUCCCGGGCCUUGCACACACCGCCCGUCAAG